rnacentral:rRNA from 1 species
AAUUUUGGACAAUGGGGGCAACCCUGAUCCAGCCAUGCCGCGUGUGUGGAGAAGGUCUUCGGAUUGUAAAGCACUUUAAGUUGGGAGGAAAGGCUUUAGGCUAAUACCCUGAAGUUUUGACGUUACCAACAGAAUAAGCCCCGGCUAACUCUGUGCCAGCAGCCGCGGUAAUACAGAGGGUGCAAGCGUUAAGCGGAAUUACUGGUCGUAAAGGGAGCGUAGGGUGUGUAGUAAGAUGGGUGGGAAAUCCCCGGGCUUAACCUGGGAACUGCUUUCAUAACUGAUGAGCUAGAGUACGGUAGAGGGUAGUGGAAUUUCCUGUGUAGCGGUGAAAUGCAUAGAUAUAGGAAGGAACACCAAUGGCGAAGGCGACUACCUGGACUGAUACUGACACUGAGGUGCGAAAGCGUGGGGAGCAAACA